rnacentral:rRNA from 1 species
UGUGGUGGCGAUAGCGAGAAGGAUACACCUGUUCCCAUGUCGAACACAGAAGUUAAGCUUCUUAGCGCCGAUUGUAGUGAGGG